rnacentral:rRNA from 1 species
UACAGAGGGUGCGAGCGUUGUUCGGAAUUACUGGGCGUAAAGAGUGUGUAGGCGGUGCUCUAAGUUCGGUGUGAAAUCUCCCGGCUCAACUGGGAGGGUGCGCCGGAAACUGGAAUGCUUGAGCGUGGGAGAGGAAAGCGGAAUUCCUGGUGUAGCGGUGAAAUGCGUAGAUAUCAGGAGGAACACCUGCGGUGUAGACGGCUUUCUGGACCAUUGCUGACGCUGAGACACGAAAGCGUGGGUAGCAAACAGG